AUUCAGCUGACGAGUCCCAAAUAGGACGAAACGUGCGUCCUGGAU
rfam:Schistosoma haematobium scaffold204_29, whole genome shotgun sequence.